GUGAUAUAUCGGUCCACAAUACUAGCGUCCAAAAACAGUAAAAUUAUGUCCACUCCAAAGGACUAUACGAGUUUUCAGGGGGGGGAUGAAGGAAUAGAUUCAUCUUGGAAGAGCUUCAAUCUGGAUAUGAAUAAAGGAUGAAGGUGUUCAAGGGCACUAAUGAUUCAAAGUACUAGUGCAUCGAUAAGUUAAGCUACACGAGUUCUGCUUUACAGGUAGUCUUUACUCUAUCCCUUUUACACAGUGUUGGGAAGAAGUGGACUCUAGAGGUCCUGCUAAUUGAGUUGAGGAAGCAGAUCGUUGUAAUAUCAAGUUCUUACCACAACACAUUUUUGCGAUCGUCAGCGUGUUUAUCCUUAAUUUUGAAGGCUUUUCGUUUGCUAACUUCUUUACUAUUCUUUUGAUCUCUAAUUAAGC
rnacentral:misc_RNA from 1 species